rnacentral:sRNA from 1 species
CUUACAGCCUUGAAAGGUGAAAAUCUUAGUCCACAAAACAGGCAUAGCAAUGGCAGCAGCAAUGCAAGUUUCCCCACGGCCCUUUAGCAAUAUGCCGAGUUUGAGCUCAAAGGGCCACUUCCAGAAUUGAGAGGGAGGCCCAGUUUUGACUCCAAUUAAAUCACUAGUAUCU